GCAGAUGGAAUAAUUCAACUUAAAAGAUGUUUCUUCCCAAGAAACUGAACCUUUCUAUCAAAAGCAGUGGAUCGAAUUGGAGAAUUAGCUUCAUAAAAAGGAUUCAUUGCAAACUGAAGAAAGAAAGAAUUAAAUAUAAAGAAAGCAAUAGAUGCUAUAAAUAAUAGAAUGACUAUCUGAGAUUGAAAUACUUAUUACUGAAAACACAUAGGCUAAAAGAGGAAAAAGAAGAAAAAAGAGAUAAUCAUAGAAAAGGUAAGUCUGUAGAUAUAUUUUGUUGAACAAGUAGUCUUCGAGAAACCACCAGUAACAAUCUUUUGAACUUGACACCCCUUCCUAAAAGCUACAUACAAUCCUAUUUAAACUUAUGGCAGCUGUAGUAUCCCACAGGAAUUCAUCCUUACAUUCAAUACAUGUCAUUUGCCAAGAGUCCAAAAUUUGAUCACAUGACUAUGGUGAUGCUCUAGUAGCAUGUGAAAAACAAUCAUGUCACUUUUUCCAGUGCCAUUAUACUCUCAAAUGACUAUUACACAAACGGUUGUAAGUCUACCUGUAUUCUUCCAUGUAUUACAGAUAUAAGCAAUUUAUGGGAAAGUUAGAAUAGAUAAGAAAUAGGUAAGAAAAUUUAGACCCAGAGGGAUGAGUUCUAACCAGAAAUUAAUAUUUAAACCUAAACAUACAACAUUUGAUAAUUUUUCCCUUAACCCCUGUUCCAAAUAUGACAUCAAGAAGCUACUUUUUAUGACCCAAUGAUCACCCAUGAUACAAAAACCAAUACAAAAGCUCAAUUUGUUGCAUAUAAGCAGAAUGGAUACCAUAAUGCCUAUGCAUUCUAUGAUUUCAUCAAUAUGGUUACCUAAAAUGAUCAGAAUUUGGAUAUGUUCACACUAUACACCAAACCAGAAACUAGCCAUCUAAAUUACCCCUGGUGAUUAGCUAAUUCAAUGUGUGAUAUGAAUUUUGGAAAUUGAAUUUAAAAUAGAAUUAAGUAUAUAGUACUAUGAAAUACUACACCGAGAAGCUAUGCAGUGGCAAUAGAAAGAAGCAUACUAGCAAAUUUUCAGGUGACUUUCAGAAUGACAGUGCUUCAGCAGAACAAAUAUAGGUAAUCCCCAAGUUACGAACGUUCAUUUAAUGCUCGUUCAAAGUUACGUGAUGAGCAAAUCCCAAAAUUACAACUAUUGCAGCACUACAGCAGUCGUUCACUCUUAAGAGCAAUCAACUGCAGAGGCUCUACAAUAUUCACCCUAUUCCUCUCCCCACUCCCCACAACUGCUUCCUCCUCCCUUCCUGCCCUGCCGGACUCACUUACCUUGCAAAAUCUGUCUCCUCUCUGCUGCGGCUUCUUUUUCAUCGAGGGAGAGGAGAGUCAGUUUGGAAAUGCUUUUUGUGCCAGCAAUGGAAGCUCCUAGGUGCCGUAAUAUCGUGCGAGUUCAAACACAAAUUCUCUGCAAAAGAGAUCAUGGCCCCCGGAAGCUUCCAUUCUCGGGGGGGGGAAGAAGUGUUUGCUUUGUUUGCAUGCCUAUGGGGCAAAGCGUGGAAUUGGAGUCGGCCAGGCGCAGGAACCAAUGCUGUCCGUGGCCCAGGUGCGCUGCUUGCUUACGUGCGCCAGCCUCAGUUUGAGGGCAGGAACAAAGCCUUCAACUGAACGGGGAGGCAUCGCAGGGCCAGAUCCCUUGCACCCGCAUCCAAGUUGGCAGCAGCAGUAGCCACCUCAGCGGCCAUGAUCCCCUCCCCAGCCAGCCAGCCACCCUGCCCGACCUAGUCCUUGCCUGGCUGGCCGGCUGGCAAAUUGUCACUACUCUUCUCCUCAUCCUCCUCACUCAUUGAGUGGCAGCAGCUUGAGUUUCUCUGCUCCGAGUGAAAGGAAACAGAAUCGCAGAGCAGGAUUGCUCUCAAUAAGGCUGGCGCAUGGAGAGCACCUGCGUCUCCUUGAGAGCAAUCCUGCUCUGCACCUCCCGUUUCUUCCUUCAGGAUGGAGCAGAGAAACUCAAGCUGCUGCCGCUCAAACACUUUUUAUCCAAACACAGAGCUGAGAGAGAUUGGAAGUUCCAUGUGCAUGCACUGGGGCACAUCAGAAACGGAAAGGAAGGAAAGAAAUGCUCUGUGCUUGAAACUCCAUGUGACUCAGGUCUCUGUUCGGAUGAAAGGUGUUUGAGCGGCAGGCUUGAGUUUGUCUGCUCUGUCUGAGUGAAAGGAAACAGAGGCUUGUUUUCGCAGGAUUGCUCUCAAUGAGAGCGAGGCAUGCUCACUCCAGAGGCAUGUUUUCGCCAGGAAGGGGCUUGAGAAAUGGCUUUUUCUGGCGAAAAUGGAGUCACAGAGUGAGGCACACUUGCAAUGGAGGCUUGUUUUUGCAGGAUUGCUCUCAAUAAGGCCGGUUUGCUCCGGAGGCUUGUUUUCGCAGGAUUGCUCUCAAUAAUUGCUCCAUUUUCGCCAGAAAGGGACUUGAGAAAUGGCUUUUUCCUGGCAAAAAUAAACCUCUGGAGCACACACACCUUGCUCUGUGGCUUUGUUUUCACCAGAAAAAGCCAGUCCCUGCGUUUAGAAGUGCUCCAUAGAUGCUGAAACACAUUUUUAUCCCAAUGGAGAUCUGGCAGAAUUGCAAGCUCCGUAUGCCUGGAAUGGCGCGCUUGAGAAAUGAAGCCUUCUGCCAGAUCUCUGUUGGGAUAAAAAAAAUGUUUCAGCACCUAUGGAGUGCUUCCAAACACAAGGACUGGCUGAUUUUGGAAGCCUCUAUAGAUACUAAAAGACUUUUUAUCCCAAUGGAGAUCUGGCAGAAACUGCAAGCCCCGUAUGCCUGGAAUGGGGCACUUGAGAAACGGAGGGCUCCUUUCUGUGCAGUCACACAGAGUGCUUCAAAAUGCAGGGAAUCCCACCACAGCACAAACACUCCACAAUGCCAAAUCCUAAUUCCCACCCCACCACAGGGAAUCCACAAUGCCAAAUCCUAAACUCCAUGCAACCCCAGGGCAUCCACAAUGCCAAAUCCUAACUCCCAUCCCACCCCCAGGGUAUCCACAAUGCCAAAUCCUAAUCCCCACCUGAGGGCAACCAUAUUCUUUCACUAAUCAACUUUCCAACUCAGUUCUCUGUAUGCAGGGCAAAAAAAGAA